rnacentral:lncRNA from 10 species
AGUGUUCGGGGCCGUUUUGGCGGCUAUGCAGGAUUGGCAGGAGCUGCGAUGCUCACACUUGCCUCGCCGACCGCCAUUUCACAUCCAGCAGAGGAGGCGGGGGCAGCCGCUGAGACGGUUUUUCACAAGGAAAUGACCUCAUUCUUGAUGGCUGCUGCUAACUUAUGGUGAGAUGCUGGGUCCCUGCCCAAUACCACAUGGACAUCCAAUCAAUUUACCCAGGGACAAGUCCACUCAAGAGCAUCAUUUAGAAGAGGGAAAAGGCACUGGGGUUAUUUGUUUUUGGAGUAUGUGCUUAAGGAAAUCUAGAGUAUUCCCACGAGCAUUCUGCUGAGAUGAACAAUCAGAUGACCUCGUGUGAGAUUUGGAGGAGAGAAGGAAAUGGAGAGCAUGCGUCUGCCGCUUCUGUGGUUUCUGUCGCAACCUUCGUGGGACUCAUUGCUGCUGGAGGCCUCAUAAAUAUUCUAGGGCUACAAUGCCCUGCAAAAAACCCAUCAGCACUGGCAACCCUGACCCUCUUCUCUGUGGUUAGAUGGGAGCCAGGGCCAAGGGACAUGCAAG